rnacentral:rRNA from 1 species
AGUGAACGCUGGCGGUAGGCCUAACACAUGCAAGUCGAACGGCAGCACAGUAAGAGCUUGCUCUUACGGGUGGCGAGUGGCGGACGGGUGAGGAAUACAUCGGACUCUACUUUUUCGUGGGGGAUAACGUAGGGAAACUUACGCUAAUACCGCAUACGACCUACGGGUGAAAGCAGGGGAUCUUCGGACCUUGCGCGAUUGAAUGAGCCGAUGUCGGAUUAGCUAGUUGGCGGGGUAAAGGCCCACCAAGGCGACGAUCCGUAGCUGGUCUGAGAGGAUGAUCAGCCACACUGGAACUGAGACACGGUCCAGACUACUACGGGAGGCAGCAGUGGGGAAUAUUGGACAAUGGGCGCAAGCCUGAUCCAGCCAUACCGCGUGGGUGAAGAAGGCCUUCGGGUUGUAAAGCCCUUUUGUUGGGAAAGAAAAGCAGCAGGUUAAUACCCCGCUGUUCUGACGGUACCCAAAGAAUAAGCACCGGCUAACUUCGUG